CUCUCUCUCUCUCUCUCUCUCUCUCUCUCUCUUCUCCUCUCCAAAUCGCAGAGCCGGUGACAUGCCUCCAUCCCACCAAUGUUGAGUGUUGAUCUGAGGAUUUGGCAUGUCAGCCAGUGUCUACACAAGCUUAAGUUUCUAUUAUUACGCAAAGGAUUAUCAGGACAGUAGCCUUGCCACAGAAUUACAGCCAAUCUGCUUGAACACAAGGCUCCUUUUUUUUUUUUCCUCCUCUCUCUCUUUCUCUUUUUUUUUUUUUUUUUGCAUUUAUUGGAAUAUUUAUUUCUAUUUUUUUUUUUUUUUUUUUACUAAAAGUGGAUAACUGGUGGCUUGUACAGCAACGUUGUUUUUAAUUAUUACAAGGGAAGCGUAAAAAAAAAAAAAAAAAAAAAAACCUAAGCAGCUUGAAUGUGUGUCUAUUCUCCCUUUGCCGAGCUGUGGAGGGCUCUGCCAUCUAUCGCACUCACAAGGAUAACAGCAGAUCAGGCGUUCCUACUGUAGCUCUUCUCUCUGGCUCUGCAUCGGUGUCUCUCUCCUGCAUCCUCUGGUUGGAAGUUCUGCAUCCCCCCCCUCCACCCUUACCCUACCCCACCACCCCCACCGUGCCCUAAAUGUGCACGUAGAGGUCUACCGGCUGCACCACAUCCCAAAACCCAUCAAAGGGUUUCAUGGUUUUAAGGGUUUUUUAAAGGGGGGUGAAACCGAAGGGUUGGAUCUGUGGUUGGCUUAUCACCUGCAAACGCUUUGGAUAUACUGUACUGUAUCAGGAGGAAAAAAAACACAGGAUCCACCUCAUCUGGGGCUUUGCUUUGCUGCUGCUUUGCAAUUUCUGUCUGAAAAUUUUCCCACUCGGAAGAGGAGAGGACUUGGAUCUGUCCUCCCGUGCAGGAUGCAGGGCUUAUUUUUAUCCAAGCACCACCGUUCCUUUUGGUAAAAGAGGAUACAUGCAUCCUUUAGCAGGAAACUUUUCCUGAAUUCUUCCGGCUCAUCCCCAUUGGAGGUGUAAGAGGGCAGCCGGGAGGCGGCGGGCACAGCGUGGGCACCCCACAGCAGGAUGUUCUGGGCAGGAUCACCAGAUAAAAUUACAGAAUUGCAUUAUUUGCGGCCGUAUUGAUUCACAUCAACGGAAAAGGUCACUUGAUUCAAUUUUCGGAAGCUGAUGUAUGGUGUCUGCAAUGAGGAUUUGAGGUGGUGUGAGGGGGAACUCCGCUGUGUACAAACAACACCUUCAUAACUAGAGCUUUACCGCCAACAUCGGAUGGCGCUCGGACAUGCAGGGGAUCUUUUCAACCAAGUAACAACGUGAACAAUUACAACGCGGACCAUGGUCUCUGCAAUCCUGGAGAACGCCCCUCAUUAAAUUGGGUGAGU